ACGCGUAUCCAACCUUCCCAUAACUACGGGAUAACCCGUUGAAAGACGGCCUAAUACCGUAUGAUAUCGUUUGCUGACAUCAAAUAACGAUUAAAGGUUUAGCGGUUAUGGAUGGGGAUGCGUCUGAUUAGCUUGUUGGCGGGGUAACGGCCCACCAAGGCAACGAUCAGUACGGGUUCUGAGAGGAAGGUCCCCCACAUUGGAACUGAGACACGGUCCAAACUCCUACGGGAGGCAGCAGUGAGGAAUAUUGGUCAAUGGGCGAGAGCCUGAACCAGCCAAGUAGCGUGCAGGAUGACGGCCCUAUGGGUUGUAAACUGCUUUUAUGUGGGGAUAAAGUGCGUGACGUGUCAUGCAUUGCAGGUACCACAUGAAUAAGGACCGGCUAAUUCCGUGCCAGCAGCCGCGGUAAUACGGAAGGUCCGGGCGUUAUCCGGAUUUAUUGGGUUUAAAGGGAGCGUAGGCUGUUUAUUAAGCGUGUUGUGAAAUAUACCGGCUCAACCGGUGGCUUGCAGCGCGAACUGGUCGACUUGAGUAUGCAGGAAGUAGGCGGAAUUCAUGGUGUAGCGGUGAAAUGCUUAGAUAUCAUGACGAACUCCGAUUGCGCAGGCAGCUUACUGUAGCAUAACUGACGCUGAUGCUCGAAAGUGCGGGUAUCAAACAGGAUUAGAUACCCUGGUAGUCCGCACGGUAAACGAUGGAUGCUCGCUAUUCGUCCUUUUUUGGAUGAGU
rnacentral:rRNA from 1 species